AUUGAACGCUGGCGGCGUGCUUAACACAUGCAAGUCGUGCGGUAACAGGCGUAGCAAUACGUGCUGACGAGCGGCGAACGGGUGCGUAAUACAUGGGAAUCUGCCUUUUAGUGGGGAAUAACCCGGCGAAAGCCGGGCUAAUGCCGCAUAAGAUCUUCGGAUGAAAGCGGGGGAUCGUAAGACCUCGCGCUGAUAGAUGAGCCCAUGCCGGAUUAGCUAGUGGUGAGGUAACGGCUCACCAAGGCGACGAUCCGUAGCUGGUCUGAGAGGACGGCCAGCCACACUGGGACUGAGACACGGCCCAGACUCCUACGGGAGGCAGCAGUGGGAAUCUUGCGCAAUGGGCGAAAGCCUGACGCAGCGACGCCGCGUGAGGGAUGACGGCCU
rnacentral:rRNA from 1 species